GACUCAACCUCAAAUGAGUAUCUGGCUGUGUGGCGAAGACUUGGAGGGGGGGGGACCUUCAUCCAGCAGUGGAUUGAUCGUGACUGACACAAUGAUUGAUGUUGAUGGAUUAUACUUUUAAUUGUUUAUAAUAAUAAAAACAAAUCGCAC